rnacentral:rRNA from 1 species
UACGAAGGGGGCUAGCGUUGUUCGGAAUCACUGGGCGUAAAGAGCUCGUAGGCGGUGUGUCGCGUCGGCCGUGAAAACCUGCAGCUUAACUGUGGGCUUGCGGUCGAUACGGGCAUCACUGGAGUUCGGUAGGGGAGACUGGAAUUCCUGGUGUAGCGGUGAAAUGCGCAGAUAUCAGGAGGAACACCGAUGGCGAAGGCAGGUCUCUGGGCCGAUACUGACGCUGAGGAGCGAAAGCGUGGGGAGCGAACAGG